rnacentral:rRNA from 1 species
GAUGAACGCUGGCGGCGUGGAUAAGGCAUGCAAGUCGAACGGUACUUUGGCCGCAAGGCUGAAGUACAGUGGCGAACGAGUUAGUAAUACCUUGGAACGUACCGAACACUUGGGUAUAGCUCAUCGAAAGGUGAGAUAAUCCUCAAUGGUCUCGCAAGAGUAAAGGAUGUAGCAAUACAUUCGGUGUUUGAGCGGCCUAGGUCCUAUCAGCUUGUUGGCGAGGAACGGCUCACCAAGGCUAUGAC